GGGGAUAUAGUUUAAUUUGGUAAAACUACGAUUUUGCAUAUCGUUGAUUCGGGAUCGAGUCCUGAUAUCUCCA
rnacentral:tRNA from 1 species